CCUACGGGUGGCAGCAGUGAGGAAUAUUGGUCAAUGGGCGCGAGCCUGAACCAGCCCAGUAGCGUGAAGGAUGACUGCCCUACGGGUUGUAAACUUCUUUUAUAAAGGAAUAAAGUGAGGCAAGUGUGCCUUUUUGUAUGUACUUAAUGAAUAAGGAUCGGCUAACUCCGUGCCAGCAGCCGCGGUAAUACGGAGGAUCUGAGCUUUAUACGGUUUUAUUGGGUUUAAAGGGAGCGUAGAUGGGUUGUUAAGUCAGUUGUGAAAGUGUGCGGCUCAACCGUAAAAUUGCAAUUGAGACUGGCAGCCUUGAGUACAGUUGAGGUAGGCGGAAUUCGUGGUGUAGCGGUGAAAUGCUUAGAUAUCACGAAGAACUCCGAUUGCGAAGGCAGCUUACUAAACUGCCACUGACAUUGAUGCUCGAAAGUGUGGGUAUCAAACAGGAUUAGAUACCCGGGUAGUC
rnacentral:rRNA from 1 species